AGUGUGAAACACUGGUUUUCGUACGAUCAUCGCAGUUAAGAGACGUCGAUCCUAUUCAGUACCUAGAUGGGUGAUCGCUUAAGAAGACCAGGUGCUGUCA